GUAAGUACGUAGUAAGUACUGCAAAAUAUGACGCUGCAAAGUCAGCAAAGGCAAAGCACAAAAAUUUACAUUUGUUUUUGUUAGCCUUUUAUUUGUUUUCAGAGUUUUUAACUAAUUUUUGAAAUCAAAUGAAUGUGUAAAAUCGUUGAUCACACUGGGUACUAGGCUACUAUAAGACUGUUUUGUACAUUUUGUGUAUUAGAGUACCGCGAUGGAUCCUUGUGUGGAGAAUUACGUUGGAAAAUUGAUGGAAGAGUGUCAGCGGCGGGGAAUACGGAGUCCUGAGUAUGGAUCAAUAAAGCAGACUGGCCCACCUCACAAACCCGAAUUCACGGCCAGUCUUACGCUUUUCGGAAUGACGGUAACUGGAUCGGGACUAACAAAGCAAAAAGCCAAAUGGGACACAGCCCGGAAAGCACUAGAGGUGUUGGGAAGAGGCACUACUACAUUGCCUACGCCUACAUUACCUUCUUUGCGAUCAGUGACGGGCACCGUGAUGGAAAAACCGUUGAACGAAGCUCAAGCUCCCGCAGCCUCUAACUCGACAACGGAUUGUACGGAAAGCUAUUCUCGGGCAGGGCCAGCGCGUAAGGUGCCAAAGUUUGAUCCACAACAUCCUCGUCAAAGUUUAGAUGCUUUGUUGCAAGAAUUAAACAUUCCACCGGUUGUAAUUUCGUUCAAGAGCGGAAUCAAUUUCCCCCUUGCCUCCGCACGAAUUGAGCCCUCCAGGGAUUCCCCUGAUUUCCAGCCGAUCAACGAAGAGGCAUUCUUUACGGAUGAGGCAACCGCCUACAUACAAAUAUGUCAACAAUUAUACAAAAGCUGCUGAACGAUGCCAGCGUACGGAAAUACAUUGACGAUAAAUUUCCUGAACGUGCUUCCCCUUCGGCACAGAAGAAGGUCAGUGCUUCGUACACCGAAGCUCAGUCUCCAACCAAGAAAAUAAAAUCUGUCCCAGAGUGGAAAAAGACUCUUUUCCACUACAAGAAGAUCGUGUCAUGCUUAAAAACCACCAACGAGGACAAUGAAGCCGCAGCCAAACGGCUAAGUUUACAACUUGAGCAACUUAAUGAUGUCGGUGCUUUGGAGAAACUGGGAGAACUGGAGAAUUUUUCGGUCAUCUACGAAAAUUUCCCCAAACACCCCGUAUCAAAGCCGUCAGAAUAUGUAGUGCGGUUGUUAGAUGCUUACCCUCGCACUAACAUUCCUGUGGGAACAGAGAGGCAGCGACUUCGAAUUUGCCGGAUAACGUUCGAGAACAAAUUCCGGGAUGAUCCUAUCCUACACUUUCAUGGUAUGGGGUGCAGCGAGGGCGAAGCUGAUUUGGAUUGCGCGAAAAAUGCUCUUCGUUAUCUGUCCCUUAUGGAAGAAAAGAUAGCAAAGGGUUUGGCAUGAUGUGGACUGUGUAAAUGCUCCAGUGAACUAUCUUUGCUCUCUGCAUUUUAAAUUUAUCAUGUGCAAUUUAUUUUACUUUCUUGAUACUGGAUGAUAUUAUGCUUUGGUUUUGUUGCUACCUUCUGUUGUUUUUAGAUAGUUACUGGAUAUCAUCCAGUGUGAUAACCCUACACAGCGGUAAUCGUUUUAAACACAGAAACUGUUGUUAGUCUUUCAAUUUGCUUUUGUUUUUGUGCGCGGAUUUGUUAUCGCGAUGCAUAAUGACUGAUAAAACCUCGAUGUGGAA